GACGAACGCUGGCGGCGUGCUUAACACAUGCAAGUCGAACGGAAAGGCGCUGCGUUUGUGGGGUGCUCGAGUGGCGAACGGGGGAGUAACACGUGAGUAACCUGCCCUUGACUUUGUGAUAACUUCAGGAAACUGGGGCUAAUACCGGAUAGGAGCUCCUGCUGCAUGGGGUGGGUUGGAAAGUUUCGGCGGUUGGGGAUGGACUCGCGGCUUAUCAGCUUGUUGGUGGGGUAGUGGCUUACCAAGGCUUUGACGGGUAGCCGGCCUGAGAGGGUGACCGGCCACAUUGGGACUGAGAUACGGACCAGACUCCUACGGGAGGCAGCAGUGGGGAAUAUUGCACAAUGGGCGGAAGCCUGAUGCAGCAACGCCGCGUGCGGGAUGACGGCCUUCGGGUUGUAAACCGCUUUCGACUGUGACGAAGCGUGCGUGACGGUAAUGGGUCAAGAAGCACCGGCUAACUACGUG
rnacentral:rRNA from 1 species